AACCUUCUAUCACUCAGAUACUCGUGGUGGUCCUGGAAGUAAACGCCCGUGCUGCGUUAACGUCACCAAAGACAAUGUGAGUGCUGACGUGGUGGGGCAAACAUAUCGUGAGCAGGCUGCAAGGCAUCACUGUGUGAAGGCUAUAAUUUUCAACACAAAAAAUGGAAAACAACUUUGUGCUGAUCCAGACGCUCAGUGGGUCAAAGAUCUCACUGCCAAAAUGAGGAAGGUGUGAAGCCUGUCUGCUGCAUCAGUAUUUCCAGUAUUUCCAUCACCUUUAACCUCCUGAAAGACCUGAACUCUUUCAUGGCAUGCAUUUUUUAUUUCUCUUUCAUAUUUGGGCAUAU